UACGUAGGGUGCAAGCGUUAAUCGGAAUUACUGGGCGUAAAGCGUGCGCAGGCGGUUGUGUAAGACAGAUGUUAAAUCCCCGGGCUCAACCUGGGAACUGCAUUUGUGACUGCACAGCUGGAGUGCGGCAGAGGGGGAUGGAAUUCCGCGUGUAGCAGUGAAAUGCGUAGAUAUGCGGAGGAACACCGAUGGCGAAGGCAAUCCCCUGGGCCUGCACUGACGCUCAUGCACGAAAGCGUGGGGAGCAAACAGG
rnacentral:rRNA from 1 species